AAAUCUUAUGCUGUAAGUUGGCAUAUUCCUGAAAGUUUUUAUACUUAAGUUUGUUCGAGUUUUUAUAUUUUUACUAUAGAGUCAACAAUCUAGCUGAUGUUGUAGGUGGAAUUGCAAGCAGCUUCUCUCUAAGUUAGUCCUUUCUGUAUUUCCUUUCUUCUUGUUCAUUUAUUAUUCUGUGUGCAUUUUAUAUUUGAUAAUGAAUACAGCUGGCUUCUAUGCAUUGGUAACAAAGAGCAAAUUCAUUUGGUCCAUGUGCUAUAAUAUUGCAUCAAUGAUUAAACCGUCAUAGUGUUCAAGCCUGCAUUCAUAAUGACUACCCAAAAUUUUAGUAAGAGUAAAAUAGGAUAAAUGGGGAAGAAUCUUGCGCAUUGCUAAAGAGCUGCAUGUAUGUCAUAGCUUUUGACUAAAGAAGUAAACUAGUUAAAUUAAUUGUGCAUGCAAGGAUGACUAAUUAAAUAUACAUCCAACUGAUUAGGAUUUUCUCCCUUUCUUUGAUGCCCUAAUUUUUAGUAAUUAUCUUUUAUAUAGCGAAUGUUGAACCGGUUGUUUAUUUUUUUUUUAUUAUGAUGAAAUAUG
rnacentral:misc_RNA from 1 species